AAACUAACAAGGAUUUCCAUGGUAACGGCGAGUGACCUGGAAUUAGCCCAACACCUGUAAUCCUGUAUAUGAAAUUAUAUGSGACGUUGUAGUGUAAAGGUUAUAUUUUUGAUAAUGGAUAGAGCUUCAAAUUCGCUUGAUUGCGAUGUUGUCCAGAGAGGGUGUUAGGCCCGUUGAAGUUUUUGAAGUUGUUAUUAAUAUUUCCUAUGAGUCGGAUUGUUUGUGAAUGCAGUCCAAAGUAGGUGGUAGAUUCCAUCUAAGGCUAAAUACUUGUCUGAGUCCGAUAGUAAACAAGUACCGUGAGGGAAAGUUGAAAAGAACUUUGAAGAGAGAGUUAAAUAGUACGUGAAAUUGCUUAGAGGUAAACGAGUGGAGCUGAAGGUAGAGUUUAGAAAUCAAUAUGGUUAGUUUCUACUAAUGUGGCUAAAAAUCCCUUAAAAGAUUUUGGUUAUGUUUUAUAGUUAUUGGCUGUAUGCACUUUUUAUUCUCUAAUAUGAGACCGGUAAUUUGUUUUUCUGUCGUAGCGUUGAAGUUGAUCGUUAUUUCGGUAUCGGUUUUAUAGCUUGCUGCAUAGUUAAAUAUUUUACCGAUAAAUCCAUAUGUAGCGUGACUUUGGGUAGAUGGCUUUUUGUUAGUUAUUGACUCUUCGUUGACACUUUAAUUGGCAAAUUGUUGUUUGCACUUUGGUGCCUAUAUUUAUCGGUCUCAUCGAAUAUGUAAGCGAUCCGCUUGUCCCGUCUUGAAACACGGACCAAGGAGUUUUAUUUGUUUGCGAGUCAAAGGGCCUUACGAAACCCCAGGGCGAAAUGAAAGUAAAGGUUUACUUCAGUAAACUUUAAUGUGAUCUUAUAGCAACCCUAUGAGCGCAACAUUGACCUGUCCGUAAGUGUUCGCACUUGGGCAGAGUCCGAGAGCAAACAAGUAGAGACCCGAAAGAUGGUGAACUUUGAAUGGGCAUGUUGAAGUCAGAUGAAAAUCUGAUGGAGGACAGAAGCGGUUCUGACGUGCAAAUCGAUCGUCAGACCUGUUCAAAGGGGCGAAAGACUAAUCGAACCAUCUAGUAGCUGGUUCCCUCCGAAGUUUCCCUCAGGAUAGCAGGUAUUUGAAACGCAGUUGUAUCUGGUAAAGCGAAUGAUUAGAAGUAUUUGGAACAUAAUGUUCUAAACUUAUUCUCAAACUUUAAAUGGGUACGAGGUAUGUCUCUCUUUAAUGGAGUUGUACAUUUUAAUGCAAAUGCUUAGUGGGCCAUUUUUGGUAAGCAGAACUGGCGAUGUGGGAUGAACCAAACAUUCAGUUAAGGUGCCUAAUAUUACGCUCAUGAGAUACCACAAAAGGUGUUGGUUGAUAAAGACAGCAGGACGGUGGACAUGGAAGUUGUCAUCCGCUAAGGAGUGUGUAACAACUCACCUGCCGAAUCAACCAGCCCUGAAAAUGGAUGGCGCUGUAGCGUAAAACCUAUACUGGAUCGAUAUCGUAAGCUUUAUGCGAGAAAGUGAUAUCGUGUAGGAGGGUGCCGUGGUUGCGUUGAAGCGACUUGCGUGAGUAAGCGUGGAGCGGCCACGGGUACAGAUCUUGGUAGUAGUAGCAAUUAUUCAAGUGAGAACCUUGAAG
rnacentral:rRNA from 1 species